rnacentral:rRNA from 1 species
UGGGGAAUAUUGGACAAUGGGGGCAAGCCUGAUCCAGCCAUACCGCGUGGGUGAAGAAGGCCUUCGGGUUGUAAAGCCCUUUUGUUGGGAAAGAAAUCCAGCCGGCUAAUACCUGGUUGGGAUGACGGUACCCAAAGAAUAAGCACCGGCUAACUUCGUGCCAGCAGCCGCGGUAAUACGAAGGGUGCAAGCGUUACUCGGAAUUACUGGGCGUAAAGCGUGCGUAGGUGGUUGUUUAAGUCUGUUGUGAAAGCCCUGGGCUCAACCUGGGAACUGCAGUGGAAACUGGACAACUAGAGUGUGGUAGAGGGUAGCGGAAUUCCCGGUGUAGCAGUGAAAUGCGUAGAGAUCGGGAGGAACAUCCAUGGCGAAGGCAGCUACCUGGACCAACACUGACACUGAGGCACGAAAGCGUGGGGAGCAAACAGGAUUAGAUACCCUGGUAGUCCACGCCCUAAACGAUGCGAACUGGAUGUUGGGUGCAAUUUGGCACGCAGUAUCGAAGCUAACGCGUUAAGUUCGCCGCCUGGGGAGUACGGUCGCAAGACUG